rnacentral:rRNA from 1 species
GUUAGGUACCUACCUUUGGGUUCGGGGAUAGCCGCGGGAAAUUGCGAUUAAUACCCGAUGAUGUCGAGAGACCAAAGGUGUGACUCCGCCCUUAGAGGGGCCUGCGUCCUAUUAGCUAGUUGGUGAGGUAACGGCCCACCAAGGCUGAGAUGGGUAGCGGGUGUGAGAGCACGACCCGCAUCACUGGGACUGAGACACUGCCCAGACACCUACGGGUGGCUGCAGUCGAGAAUCUUCGGCAAUGGGCGCAAGCCUGACCGAGCGACGCCGCGUGCGGGAUGAAGGCCCUCGGGUUGUAAACCGCUGUCGUAGGGGAGGAAAUGCCGGUGGGUAAUCUCAUCGGUUUGACCUAUCCUAGGAGGA